rnacentral:rRNA from 1 species
GACGAACGCUGGCGGCGUGCUUAACACAUGCAAGUCGAACGGUAAGGCCCUUCGGGGUACACGAGUGGCGAACGGGUGAGUAACACGUGGGUGAUCUGCCCUGCACUUCGGGAUAAGCCUGGGAAACUGGGUCCAAUACCGGAUAGGACAACUGCCUGCAAGGGUUGUGGUGGAAAGCUUUUGAUGUGUGGGAUGGGCCCGCGGCCUAUGAGCUUGUUGGUGGGGUGAGGGCCUACCAAGGCGACGCCGGGUAGCCGGCGUGGGAGGGUGACCGGCCACACUGGGACUGAGAUACGGCCCAGACUCCUACGGGAGGCAGCAGUGGGGAAUAUUGCACAAUGGGCGCAAGCCUGCUGAAGCGACGCCGCGUGAGGGAUGACGGCCUUCGGGUUGUAAACCUCUUUCAGCACCGACGAAGCGCAAGUGACGGUAGGUGAAGAAGAAGGACCGGCCAACUACGUGCCAGCCGCCGCCGUAA